UAGCUAAUCCUGGUCGGACAUCAGGAGGUUAGUGCAAUGGCAUAAGCUAGCUUGACUGCGAGCGUGACGGCGCGAGCAGGUGCGAAAGCAGGUCAUAGUGAUCCGGUGGUUCUGAAUGGAAGGGCCAUCGCUCAACGGAUAAAAGGUACUCCGGGGAUAACAGGCUGAUACCGCCCAAGAGUUCAUAUCGACGGCGGUGUUUGGCACCUCGAUGUCGGCUCAUCACAUCCUGGGGCUGAAGUAGGUCCCAAGGGUAUGGCUGUUCGCCAUUUAAAGUGGUACGCGAGCUGGGUUUAGAACGUCGUGAGACAGUUCGGUCCCUAUCUGCCGUGGGCGCUGGAGAAUUGAGGGGGGCUGCUCCUAGUACGAGAGGACCGGAGUGGACGCAUCACUGGUGUUCGGGUUGUCAUGCCAAUGGCACUGCCCGGUA
rnacentral:rRNA from 1 species